UCCCUGGUGGUCUAGUGAUUCAGACUCCUCACUUUCACUGCAGGAGGCACAGGUUCAAUCCCUGGUCAAGGAA
rnacentral:tRNA from 1 species